GACGAACGCUGGCGGCGUGCUUAACACAUGCAAGUCGAGCGAUGAAGCUCCUUCGGGAGUGGAUUAGCGGCGGACGGGUGAGUAACACGUGGGUAACCUGCCUCAUAGAGGGGAAUAGCCUUUCGAACGGAAGAUUAAUACCGCAUAAGUUUGUAGUACCGCAUGGUACAGCAAUUAAAGGAGUAAUCCGCUAUGAGCUGGACCCGCGUCGCAUUAGCUAGUUGGUGAGGUAACGGCUCACGAAGGCGAGGAUGCGUAGCCGACCUGAGAGGGUGAUCAGCCACAUGGGGACUAGGACACGGCCCGGACUCCUACGGGAGGGAGCAGUGCGGAAUAUUGCACAAUGGGGGGAACCCUGAUGGAGCAACGCCGCGUGAGUGAUGACGGUCUUCGGAUUGUAAAGCUCUGUCUUCAGGGACGAUAAUGACGGUACCUGAGGAGGAAGCCACGGCUAACUACGUGCCAGCCGCCGCCGUAA
rnacentral:rRNA from 1 species